rnacentral:rRNA from 1 species
UACGGAGGGUGCGAGCGUUGUCCGGAAUCACUGGGCGUAAAGGGCGCGUAGGCGGCAUGCCAAGCGUGUGGUGAAAGCCCGGGGCUCAACCCCGGGUCGGCCGUGCGGACUGGCAUGCUCGAGCACUGUAGGGGCGGGUGGAAUUCCGGGUGUAGCGGUGGAAUGCGUAGAGAUCCGGAAGAACACCGGUGGCGAAGGCGGCCCGCUGGGCAGGAGCUGACGCUGAUGCGCGACAGCGUGGGGAGCAAACGGG